rnacentral:rRNA from 1 species
GACGAACGCUGGCGGCGUGCUUAACACAUGCAAGUCGAACGGAAAGGCCCUGCUUUUGUGGGGUGCUCGAGUGGCGAGCGGGUGAGUAACACGUGAGUAACCUGCCCUUGACUUUGGUAUAACUUCAGGAAACUGGGGCUAAUACCGGAUAGGAGCUCCUGCUGCAUGGUGGGGGUUGGAAAGUUUCGGCGGUUGGGGAUGGACUCGCGGCUUAUCAGCUUGUUGGUGGGGUAGUGGCUUACCAAGGCUUUGACGGGUAGCCGGCCUGAGAGGGUGACCGGCCACAUUGGGACUGAGAUACGGCCCAGACUCCUACGGGAGGCAGCAGUGGGGAAUAUUGCACAAUGGGCGGAAGCCUGAUGCAGCAACGCCGCGUGCGGGAUGACGGCCUUCGGGUUGUAAACCGCUUUCGCCUGUGACGAAGCGUGAGUGACGGUAAUGGGUAAAGAAGCACCGGCUAACUACGUG